GAAGACUGCAGAGUUUGGGAACAAGGAUUGUCGGGCUUAAAAGGGCCAAUGGGGGAAUGUGAAUGCAGUACGCGGAGCCUGUGGGGACCUUGCCUGACAGAUGGAGGACCUGCUUAUUUGCUGCUCCUAGCCUGCAUCCAACACUGACCCACCUCAUUUGUCACAGGACAUCUUGUCACUACUGGAUUCAUAGCUGGCUGAUCUACUUGAACUUGCUGCUGAAGACUGAUGGGGCUCUGGGCCCACAGCCACCAUUAAGGUAUCCUUCUUGGAGCCCCAAGUCUCACUGAAGGUCUCAGGUGGGAAUCUCAGUGAUGAAUUUUCUUACUCCUUUGGAGUAUAUUUUUUAGUACCAGAAUUUGAUCAACCAUAGACUCUAAGAAAGCACCAUAUAGCCCCAGGAGCAUCAUAGCAAAUUUUUUGAAAUGUACAUUAUUGUGGGGUAUAAUGCUCAUAUUUAAUUUUUAGAAGUAUUUCUAUUAAAAUUAUUAAUUUUAAUUUGAGUUUAAUUAUAUUACACAAUGUAUACUUAAUAUGAAAAUAGAAUAUCAAUAAAAUAAAAUAUUACUUUUUAAUAUGUAAUGAGUUUGUAGAAUAAAC
rnacentral:lncRNA from 1 species